rnacentral:rRNA from 1 species
GAUGAACGCUGGCGGCGUGCCUAAUACAUGCAAGUCGAACGAAAGGGCGAUAAUCUUGCGGCUCGCAUGUUAGCGGCAGGGGUGUGUAUAACGCGUGUAAAAUCCACCUGUCAUUCGGGGAUAUCUAGGAGAAUCCGGAUAUAAUACCGUAGGAUCUUUUGAACCGCAGUGUGCAAAAGUAAGUUACGGUCGUUCGGGCACGUCUCGAUGGAUCCGCGCUGCAUUAGCUGGUUGGUAAGGUAACGGCUUACCAAGGCAACGAUGCAUAGCCGACGGGAGAGGGUGAUCGGCGACAUGGGAACUGAGACACGGUCAAUACGCCUAAGGGAGGCAGCAGUAGGGAAUGUUACGCAAUGGGCGAAAGCAUGACGGAGCAACGCCGCGUGAGAGAUGAAGACGCUCGGAUCGUAAAACCCUGUUAUGAGGGAAAAACCUAUGUGUAAGGAACCGUGGACAGAGUGACGGUAAUUAAUAAGAAAGCACCGGCUAACUACGUG